rnacentral:rRNA from 1 species
CUGAAAUCAAGUGUGACGACCCGCUGAACUUAAGCAUAUCAAUAAGCGGAGGAAAAGAAAUCAAAUGAGAUUUCCGUAGUAGCUGCGAGUGAACUGGAAUCUAGCCUAUUGCCAAUUCUUAUGUUUCGUACAAUAAGAGAUGAGGUGUAAAGGAGUUUCGUGUUGAACAGACGCACGGCCUAAAUAUUAUCGAGUGAGUUCUCAGAGAAGGUGAAAAGCCUGUUUGGUUGUGUCUGUCUGUUGAAUCGGAAUUCUUACGAGUCUAGUUGUUUGAGAGUACAACUUAAAGCUGGUGGUAAAUUUCAUCAAAGGCUAAAUAUAUGAGGGGACUAAUAGCGAACAAGUACCAUGAGGGAAAGUUGAAAAGAACUCUGACGAGAGAGUUCAACAGUGCGUGAAACCAUAUUGAGUAAAACAGAUAACUGUGUCGUUAUGCGAUGUGUCUAUCAACAGUACGUCGAGUAUUGCGAUGCGGUGAGCGUGAGCUAUUCAUUCAGACGAUCGCGUGCCGUUAGCAUAGCUUGGAGCUCUGUGUACUAGUGCAUAUCCAAUCAUUGAGAAACUAUGCUACUGCGGCAUCGGUGAACAUCAGACCCCGCCUAGCGGGAAGUUGUCUACUGGGCUCUGCUGGCGGCGUAGUUUAGCUGUGUGACAGCUGUGAUACGCGUUUGUCGAAUGUUCCUGCUUUGUCUGCAGAUUGGUUUAUUCCUUUCUGCGGUGAGUAUGGUACAGUAGGCGAGCGUAUCGCCAUCAAUGAUUGACAUU